CUCCGUAGGUGAACCUGCGGAGGGAUCAUUACACAAAUAUGAAGGCGGGCUGGAACCUCUCGGGGUUACAGCCUUGCUGAAUUAUUCACCCUUGUCUUUUGCGUACUUCUUGUUUCCUUGGUGGGUUCGCCCACCACUAGGACAAACAUAAACCUUUUGUAAUUGCAAUCAGCGUCAGUAACAAAUCAAUAAUUACAACUUUCAACAACGGAUCUCUUGGUUCUGGCAUCGAUGAAGAACGCAGCGAAAUGCGAUAAGUAGUGUGAAUUGCAGAAUUCAGUGAAUCAUCGAAUCUUUGAACGCACAUUGCGCCCUUUGGUAUUCCAAAGGGCAUGCCUGUUCGAGCGUCAUUUGUACCCUCAAGCUUUGCUUGGUGUUGGGCGUCUUGUCUCUAGCUUUGCUGGAGACUCGCCUUAAAGUAAUUGGCAGCCGGCCUACUGGUUUCGGAGCGCAGCACAAGUCGCACUCUCUAUCAGCAAAGGUCUAGCAUCCAUUAAGCCUUUUUUUCAACUUUUGACCUCGGAUCAGGUAGGGAUACCCGCUGAACUUAAGCAUAUCA
rnacentral:rRNA from 1 species